CCUGCAGUCGAGCGGAAACGAGUUAUCUGAACCUUCGGGGAACGAUAACGGCGUCGAGCGGCGGACGGGUGAGUAAUGCCUAGGAAAUUGCCCUGAUGUGGGGGAUAACCAUUGGAAACGAUGGCUAAUACCGCAUGAUGCCUACGGGCCAAAGAGGGGGACCUUCGGGCCUCUCGCGUCAGGAUAUGCCUAGGUGGGAUUAGCUAGUUGGCGAGGCAAG
rnacentral:rRNA from 1 species